CACCGUUGGUUAUAAGCCAGAAAACCUUGACAUGGAUUUUCAGUUCCAAUGAGGAAGCGAUCUUGCAUCUCAUUUCAUUUUUACUUUCUUUUUUCUUUUAUUUUCUUUACAUCUCAUAACCCGCGAAAAAUGAUCUGCGGCUUUUGAGAACCACCUUUAAACUUAAAGCCACGUGACCUUGCAAACGACCUCUAAUUCGGUGCUAGUAUCGUCCGUUCCUAGCUGAGUUUUACUAUAACCCCUACAUCAUUGACACGUUUGGAACACGUUCGUUGUCCGAGUGUCCAAGCGAAAGCUCAGUUAUAACGUUAAAUUCCUCGCGACUUGCUACUAAAAACCGGUAGUAAAGGAUUCCCGAAUCAUCUAAGAUAUGAUACGAACGACGACAAGUCUACGUAAUGAAUUGGCACGCGCGUUACUACGAAAUUCUGUGCGGACAAAUACCGUAAGAUCCAUGGUCAUACGAUGUCUUCACAGAAAAUAUCUGCAAAGGAUUCAGGUUCAAAAUACCUUACGUCUUACUGUGACCCCAUGGAAGCAACAAUUAAGGUAUUAUGCAGAUUAUCCGGAUCAUGUCAAAGUACAACUUCCUGCAUUGUCUCCUACCAUGGAAACAGGCACUAUUGUCAGUUGGCAUAAGAAGGAAGGUGAUAAGUUGAAUGAAGGUGACUUACUGGCAGAAAUUGAAACGGAUAAAGCGACAAUGGGCUUUGAAACACCAGAAGAAGGCUAUCUGGCAAAAAUUAUGGUAGCUGCAGGAACAAAAAAUGUCCCUAUUGGCAAACUAGUUUGUAUAAUUGUUCCAGACGAAGGUAGUGUAGCUGCCUUCAAAGAUUUUAAGGAUGAUUCUCCAGCUGCCCCAACUCCUGCACCAGCUGCUCCUACACCAUCCACUCCUCCUCCAUCACCAGUAACACCACCAGCACCAGCUGCACCAGCAGCACCAGCAGUGCCACAACCUACCCCAUCAGGGGAUAGAAUAUAUGUUACCCCAUUAGCUAAAAAACUUGCAGCUGACAAAGGCCUUAGUUUGCAGGGCUUAAAAGGUUCAGGACUGUAUGGUGCCAUAACAUCUAAAGAUUUAGAAGGUGCACCAGCUAUGGCUGUACAACCUGCUAUGGCAGCAGUAGCAGGUGCUCCAGGAGGAAUAGAUGUUCCUGUGUCCAACAUUCGAGCAGUAAUUGCUAAGCGUUUACUGGAAAGUAAACGAUCUAUUCCACAUUAUUACUUAUCAAUAGAUGUGAAAAUGGACGCUGCUUUAGAAAUGCGGGAACGAUUUAAUAAGAUGUUAGAGAAGGAGAAGGUAAAGCUUAGUGUAAACGAUAUCAUUAUCAAAGGAAUGGCGAUGGCUUGCAAAAAAGUACCUGAGGGUAACAGUGCUUGGAUGGGAGAAGUUAUUAGACAAUACAAUAAUGUUGAUGUAAGUGUAGCAGUAAGUACAGAGAGCGGUCUAAUCACACCAAUAGUUUUCGGUGCAGAUGGAAAGGGUAUAGUUCAAAUUAGCAAAGAUGUAAAAGAAUUGGCUACAAAAGCGAGGGAAGGAAAAUUACAACCACAAGAGUUCCAAGGAGGAACUAUCACUUUGUCAAAUCUAGGAAUGUUUGGCAUUAAAAACUUCUCCGCGAUUAUAAAUCCUCCCCAAUCUAUCAUUCUUGCUGUAGGUACAACUGAAGCCAGGUUAAUACCUGCCAAAAAUGAAAAAGGAUUCAUAACCUCCCAAUUUAUGUCUGUUACUGCCAGUUGCGAUCAUCGCACCGUAGACGGUGCAGUAGGCGCGCAGUGGUUAGCUGCUUUUAAGAGCUUUAUGGAGAAUCCAACGAAUAUGUUGUUAUAGUAAAUUCAACCGUUGAAAUGUUCAAUGGAGUAGUUUGAACGAGCGAAACUUAUAUGAGAAAAAAAGCAUUGUUUUGUUCAGAUGCACAUUUUGAAGGGCACACUUUAUUUCUUUUACGCAGAAGCAUCAUUGCGACACACAAUUCAGGAAUCAAGGUGUCACUAAUAUCAUUAGGCCGAAUUUCUUCCUAUUCGAUUUUAGAAAUUUUAUAUAUGUGGUUUUUCAUUGAACAUAAAGUACAAGACUGACGAUUAAUUUUAUCGUUAUAAAAACAAAAGAAACGAUUCAUCAAAUUUAAAUGUUACUUUAUUAUUUCCGUGAAAAACCACAAACUUCCCCAGCAAUAGUAGUGGCCACGUGUAAAUAUGUGUAUUUAUGAAACAAUAUUACGGCCAUCAUUUAUUGCAAUGAAUUCAA
rnacentral:misc_RNA from 1 species